CUUUAGGUGUUUGGUGUUAUGCUGGUAAGGUGUAUAAAAUUUCCCUCGGUCGAAAAAUGAUUUUUGAGUAUUGGAAGUGUGGAAGUGUGAGAUUUUUGUUCGAACAAUAACCAAGUAAGCAUCGAGUGGGAGGAUCUGGCUCUAGUUACUUUUGUGGAAAUUCUUAUCAGGUUCCUAAUUUUGGAUGAAGUAGAUAGAGUUAUGGGAGUUGGCUUCAAAGAGGAGUUGAGGUUUGUCUUUCAGUGUUUGCCGAAAAUUUGCCAGACUAUUAUUCUCUACAACGAUGACAAGUAACCUGGAAACACAGCUUGAGCUUCCGGCAAAUAAGACAUACUUCCACGAGGCAUAUGAAGGCUCUUAGAUGGGUGACACUAUUAAACAAUAGUAUGCUUUUGUUCCAAAAAAUGUGAAGGGCGUUUAUCUGAUGCACAUUCAAGGAGUUGAGAUAAAAGUUAGUUUUGAGAAUGAUGAUGUUGUUUCAAGCUCUAUCAUCGUUAUGUAUCACCAAGUGGGGGAAAUUAGGUAAUGCUCGUUGGGUAUUUGAGCAGCCAGAAACUCUUAUUAAAUUGGUUUUGCCUAAUGAAUGUUGCCAAAACUCUUGUUGAAUUGGGUGCCAAUGUCAAUGCUUAUUGUCCAGGGGCUCAUACGGGCACUCCUUUAUAUCA